rnacentral:rRNA from 1 species
GAUGAACGCUAGCGGCAGGCCUAACACAUGCAAGUCGAGGGAGAGGUUACCUUCGGGUAACCAAAACCGGCGCACGGGUGCGUAACGCGUAUACAAUCUGCCUUUCACAUAGGGAUAGCCCGAAGAAAUUUGGAUUAAUACCUAAUGGUAUAUAAGAGCGGCAUCGUUUUUAUAUUAAAGCUACGGUGGUGAAAGAUGAGUAUGCGUUCUAUUAGUUAGUUGGAGAGGUAACGGCUCCCCAAGGCGACGAUAGAUAGGGGUUCUGAGAGGGAUGUCCCCCACACUGGUACUGAGAUACGGACCAGACUCCUACGGGAGGCAGCAGUGAGGAAUAUUGGACAAUGGUCGGAAGACUGAUCCAGCCAUGCCGCGUGCAGGAUGAAGGUCCUAUGGAUUGUAAACUGCUUUUGUAAGGGAAGAAUAAGGAGUACGUGUACUUUGAUGACGGUACCUUACGAAUAAGCAUCGGCUAACUCCGUG